UACGUAGGGUGCAAGCGUUAAUCGGAAUUACUGGGCGUAAAGCGUGCGCAGGCGGUUUUGUAAGACAGGCGUGAAAUCCCCGGGCUUAACCUGGGAAUGGCGCUUGUGACUGCAGUGCUGGAGUGCGGCAGAGGGGGAUGGAAUUCCGCGUGUAGCAGUGAAAUGCGUAGAUAUGCGGAGGAACACCGAUGGCGAAGGCAAUCCCCUGGGCCUGCACUGACGCUCAUGCACGAAAGCGUGGGGAGCAAACAGG
rnacentral:rRNA from 1 species